GAAUGGGAGGGCAAAUCUUGCUUCAACAUCUAUUGCUCCACUGAUCUCCAUGACUGAUUUGGCUGGUCUGGAUACUAAGCAGUGUCCCUUUCCUUCUUCUUCACUUCAUGUGCAUCCCUCAUGGGUCUGCAUGCUUGAUGGAAGAGGACAACCAUUCCAGAUAAAAAAAUAUCAUUCAUUUGUAAAGGGAGUUAAAUAAAUCAUUAUUUUUAUCCUCAAUUUUUGA
rnacentral:snRNA from 1 species